rnacentral:rRNA from 1 species
GACGAACGCUGGCGGCGUGCUUAACACAUGCAAGUCGAACGGAAAGGCCCUGCUUUUGUGGGGUGCUCGAGUGGCGAACGGGUGAGUAAUACGUGAGUAACCUGCCCUUGACUUUGGGAUAACUUCAGGAAACUGGGGCUCAUACCGGAUAGGAGCUCCUGCUGCAUGGUGGGGGUUGGAAAGUUUCGGCUGUUGGGGAUGGACUCGCGGCUUAUCAGCUUGUUGGUGGGGUAGUGGCUUACCAAGGCUUUGACCGGUAGCCCGCCUGAGAGGGUGACCGGCCAAAGUGCGACUGUGAGACGGACCAGACACCAACGGGAGGCAGCAGUAGGAAAUAAUGCACAAUGAACCGAAGCCUGGUGUAGAAGCGCCGCGGGCGUGAAGACAGCCUUUUGGUUGUGAACCACUUUCGCCUGUGACGUAGCGUGCAUGACGGUAAUGGGUAAAGAAGCACCGGCGAACUACGUG